GAUGAACGCUGGCGGCGUGCCUAAUACAUGCAAGUCGAGCGAACAGACGAGGAGCUUGCUCCUCUGACGUUAGCGGCGGACGGGUGAGUAACACGUGGAUAACCUACCUAUAAGACUGGGAUAACUUCGGGAAACCGGAGCUAAUACCGGAUAAUAUAUUGAACCACAUGGUUCAAUAGUGAAAGACGGUUUUGCUUUCACUUAUAGAUGUAUCCGCGCCGCAUUAGCUAGUUGGUAAGGUAACGGCUUACCAAGGCAACGAUGCGUAGCCGACCUGAGAGGGUGAUCGGCCACACUGGACCUGAGACACGGUCCAGCCUCCUACGGGGGGCAGCAGUAGGGAAUCUUCCGCAAUGGGCGAAAGCAUGACGGAGCAGCGCCGCGUGAGUGAUGAAGGUCUUCGGAUCGUAAAACUCUGUUAUUAGGGAAGAACAAAUGUGUAAGUAACUAUGCACGUAUUGACGGUACCUAAUCAGAAAGCCACGGCUAACUACGUG
rnacentral:rRNA from 1 species